UAAAAGUUCAACAUAGCUGAUAAUGAUCAUCGGAGCUUCCAUGCUGCUCGCGGUUAGUCAUGCUGCCUGCGGUGACAGGUUCCCUUCAGUCAGAGGUCCAUUGUUUGUUUCCUUAAAACAAAUAUACGGGGAACAAUAUGGAGGCUUAGUCUAAUACAACGACGAUGGAAACGAAGAAAGGCAACAUACCGUAGUGACGUCUGAAUCGGGUGGUGUCAUCUCUACCAGAUUGAUAAGUACACAUCACAGUGAUGUCUAGUGGUAUGCCCCCCGCACCUUAGAGCUUUGGCUCUCGCUCCCCGCACCUCCAGCUAUUGACUUGCCGUCUGCUGUAUGAACACUUGGAAUAAAGCAUUGUUUGGCAAAUA